UCUAGACGCGGAUCUGUCACUGGGGAAGCCUUUGCUGACCGAUCCUGUAAACCUUGUUUCACGAGGCAUAAGGGAUCGGUUGGCAAAGGCUUCCCCAGUGACAGAUCCGCGUCUAGA
rnacentral:pre_miRNA from 1 species